GAGUUUGAUCCUGGCUCAGAGCGAACGUUAGCGGCGGGCCUAACACAUGCAAGUCGAACGAGAAAGCGGCUUCGGCCGUGAGUAAAGUGGCGGACGGGUGAGUAACACGUGGAUAAUCUACCUUUCAGCGGGGAUAACAGUCCGAAAGGAUUGCUAAUACCGCAUACGUCGGCUGGGGAUACCCGGUCGGAAAGCAGCCCUCUUUCACGAACGGUUGCACUGAAAGAUGAGUCCGCGUCCCAUCAGCUAGUUGGUAGGGUAAUGGCCUACCAAGGCGAAGACGGGUAGCUGGUCUGAGAGGAUGAUCAGCCACACUGGAACUGAGACACGGUCCAGACUCUACGGGAGCAGCAGUGGGAAUAUUGGGCAAUGGGCGCAAGGCCUGACCCAGCCACGCCGCGUGAGUGAUGAAGGCCUU
rnacentral:rRNA from 1 species